rnacentral:rRNA from 17 species
CAGACCUCUAAUCGGAAAAGA